GGGUUCUUCAAUGGAAUAUGAAUUGAAAAUGUAAAACCAUUUAUUAACUAAAACUUAGGAAGUUUAAACCUAAAAAAAAUGAAAGGUUUCCAAAACUUAUUCUGUUUAAAAUAAAUUAAAAAAAAAGAAAAUAAGGAAACCAAACAAAAGACACUUUCGUCUCUCCGUCUCUCACAAUCUCACGAACUCUCUCAAACUCAAAGAAAUUUCUCUCUCUAAAUUGCACCUUCCCCUCCCC
rnacentral:lncRNA from 1 species